ACAACGGGUGGAGCUUGCGGUUUAAUUGGAUUCAACGCCGGAAUCUUACCGGGACCGACAGCAAUAUGAAGGCCAGGCUGAAGACUUUGCCGGAUUAGCUGAGAGGUGGUGCAUGGCCGUCGUCAGUUCGUACUGUGAAGCAUCCUGUUAAGUCAGGCAACGAGCGAGACCCACGCCCACAGUUGCCAGCGUACUCUCUGGAGUGACGGGUACACUGUGGGGACCGCCGCUGCUAAAGCGGAGGAAGGAAUGGGCAACGGUAGGUCAGUAUGCCCCGAAUAUCCCGGGCUACACGCGAGCUACAAUGGUUGGUACAAUGGGUAUCUACCCCGAAAGGGGACGGGAAUCUCCUAAAACCAAUCUUAGUUCGGAUUGAGGGCUGCAACUCGCCCUCAUGAAGCUGGAAUCCGUAGUAAUCGCGUUUCAACAGAACGCGGUGAAUACGUCCCUGCUCCUU
rnacentral:rRNA from 1 species